rnacentral:lncRNA from 1 species
UUGCUUUGAAAGUCCGGUUUAAGAGACAUGGAAGUGAUCACCUCAAAACAAUGUAACAUCAGAUUUUGGUUAAAGAUACUGCAUGUUUAGCUGAUUGCAGUGGCUCACACCUGUAACCCCAGCACUUUGGGAGGCCGAGGCGGGCGGAUCACCUGAGGUCAGGAGUUUGAGACCAACCUGGCCAACAUGGUGAAACCCCGUCUCUACUAAAGAUACAAAAAUUAGCCGGGUGUGGUGGCGGGCACCUGUAAUCCCAGCUACUUGGGAGGCUGAGACAGGAGAAUCACUUGAACCCAGGAGGCAGAGGUUGCAGUGAGCUGAGAUUGCGCCAUUGCACUCCAGCCUGGGUGACAAGAGUAAAACUCCGUCAAAACAAAAACAAAAAGAGAGGAAAAGAAAAGAAAAAGAAAAGAAAAGAAGUCAGGAAAGGUUGAAUAAUGUCUCAGUGCCUGAGACUAGAGAGUAAGCUGGAAGUGAUGAUUCAUUUUCUUUCUCCCUCGGCUCUCAGAGGGUCAGGUAAGCAUGUAUCUGCUAGAUGGGAUCCUCUUUAAGUUAGCUGGGGCUGGGCCCCAUGCUCUCCUUACUCUUGUAGCACUUAGUCCUAAUACCACCCCUUUUCCAUCACUACAGGAAAUAAGCCUAAUUCCAGGUCCAGCGGUUUUUGACACUUUUGUCCUCACCACCUGCCUUCUGAAAAUUCCCCCUCUCUUUGGCUUCUGGGAUAAUCACUGUUUCUAAUUUCUCCCACUUCUGAACCUCUUCUCUGUCUCCCUUGAUGGGUUUCUUUUUCCAUGAGAAAGUACCCUCCCCCUGCUUUUUUUUUUUAAACUGAAUUCUAUUCUCAGCCCCCCUUUUCUUCCCACUCUAUAAAUCAUUCCUAGGAGAUUCUCAUCUUGCAUGGCAUUGUUUCUCAUAUAAUGACUGACAAUUCUCCAUAUCCAGCCCCAGCCUCUCCACUGGGCUCUGAAAAUGCAUUUCCAACUUGUUACUUACAUCUUCUGUAGUUUUCUUAAAUUCAACUUGCCCAUAACAGAAUUUGUUUUCCACAGCAAAAACGUUCCUUCUCCUGUAUUCCCUAUAUAAAUUAAUGUUAUUUCUAUCAUAGGGUGUCCAAAUGGGCAACUUGCCUGGGAUUGAGGGGUUUCCCAUAACACAAGACUUUCAGUGCUGAACCUGAGAAAGUCCUGGGCAACCUGGGACCAGCUGGGCCCCCUAUCUAUCUAUCAAAUCUCCCAAACCAGCACCUCCGAGUUUCUUUCCACACUUCCCCCUCUCUCAUCUCCCACCUCUAAUUAGUCACCAAAUUCUCGGUAUCAUACCUCAGAAAUCUCUCUAGAAACUUUCCCUACUUUUCUCUUCUCCAUACUACUGCCUGUAUUCAGGCCUUUAUUAUUUCUUGCCUGAGAUACUGUAAUAGAAUCCCACCUUGUGACUUUGAGCUCAGUCCACUUUAUAUUCUGCCUAAGAAACCUGCAUGAAUACAGAUAUAAUCAUCAUGACACUAUUAAACAAUAAACCUAGAAGGAAUGAAUUCAUACAGAAAAUUGAAUCCUGCCGUAGAUUAGAGGUUUUUGGCUUUUCACCUUGACCACAAACCCAGGAACUGAUUGUAACCUCAGUAUAAUAGAUAUCUGUUAGGGAUCAACACAAUUUUCUCCUCAGCAUCUGGAUCAAUUUUUCCCUCUGUCUGGACAGGUGUGCUUGCUUUUCAAAAAAUUGCUAUGGGAACAUCAUCUUGCAUUAUAGUCUAAUCAAAAUAAAGCCAUAAAAUUUCUGCAAUUAUGUACAAAGAACUAGAUAAUGGUGAUAGGAUAAGGAUCAAGAAAGGGCAAAAAUACAAAUUUUAACAGGAAACCAAAUACUAGUACACUUCAUUUUAUUGUCCUUCCCUUUAUUGUGCUUCACAGAUACUACAUUUUUUUUUUUUUAAAGAAAUUGAAGUUUUGUGGCAAUUCUGCACCAGGAAGUCUUGCACCAGAAAGUGUAUCAGCACCAUUUUUCCAACAGCAUGUGCUCACUUUGUGUCUCUGUGUCCCAUUUUAGUAAUUAUCAUAAUAUUUCAGACUUUUUCAUUAUUAUUAUAUCUUUUAUUGUGAUCUGUGGUUAGUGAUCUUUGAUGUUACUGUUGUAAUUGUUUUAUGUCGCCAUAAACAGCACCUGUAUAUGAUGGUGAACUUAACCAAUAAAUGUGUGUGUUCUGACUGCUAUACUGACUGGCUGCUCCCCCAUCUCUGUUUCUUUUCUUGGGCCGCCCUAUUCCCUGAGACACAAUAAUAUUGAAAUUAGGCCAGUUAACAAUCCUACAAAGACCUCUAAGUGUUCCAGUGAAAGGAAGCAUUGCAAGUCUCUCACUUUAAAUGAAAGGCUAGCAAUGAUUAAUCUCAAUGCGGAAGUCAUAUUGAAAGCUGAGAUAGGCUGAAAGCUAGGCCUCUUGCACCAAAC